GUCUCAGUAGCAUAUGGUUAAUGCGGAGCUCCGGUUAGGCGCGAGACACGGGUUCGAAUCCCGCCUGAGAUC
rfam:Nippostrongylus brasiliensis genome assembly, scaffold: NBR_contig0003574